UACGUGGGGUGCAAGCGUUGUCCGGAAUUAUUGGGCGUAAAGAGCUCGUAGGCGGUUUGUCGCGUCUGCCGUGAAAGUCCGGGGCUCAACUCCGGAUCUGCGGUGGGUACGGGCAGACUAGAGUGAUGUAGGGGAGACUGGAAUUCCUGGUGUAGCGGUGAAAUGCGCAGAUAUCAGGAGGAACACCGAUGGCGAAGGCAGGUCUCUGGGCCGAUACUGACGCUGAGGAGCGAAAGCUAGGGGAGCAAACGGG
rnacentral:rRNA from 1 species